AUGCAAAGCCUCUUGGUGGAUGUCAAUCGCAUUCGUAACCUUGCCACCAAGAAUGCCUUUGUUGCUCAUGAAACUUGCCGACGAUCAUGGAAGAGCUUGACCCUGCUUAGUGCUGAAGCAGAUCUUCAAGAUGAUGGCUUCACUGGAAGAUUCAAGUUUGACUCCACUCCUCCAUGGAAUGCUGUCCUACGAAGAACUCCAUCUCUUGAAGACUCUGAUUAUUCUUCCUCCACUGCAACUGUCAAUGCCAAUGUCAUCGAUGAUGAAGACGAUGCAACUUCACCGCCCCCUACUUCUGCACGCAUCGACACUGCACCAAGUUCAUCUGCACCGCCAAACGACAACGACAACCCUGCUGCUUCAACUACUCCUCAUGAGGACGAGUAG
rnacentral:rRNA from 1 species